AUUGAACGCUGGCGGCAUGCUUUACACAUGCAAGUCGAACGGCAGCGCGGGGGCAACCCUGGCGGCGAGUGGCGAACGGGUGAGUAAUGCAUCGGAACGUAUCCUGUAAUGGGGGAUAACGUAGCGAAAGUUACGCUAAUACCGCAUACGCUCGAGAGAGGAAAGUGGGGGAUCGCAAGACCUCACGUUACAGGAGCGGCCGAUGUCCGAUUAGCUAGUUGGUGGGGUAAAGGCCUACCAAGGCGACGAUCGGUAGCUGGUCUGAGAGGAUGAUCAGCCACACUGGGACUGAGACACGGCCCAGACUCCUACGGGAGGCAGCAGUGGGGAAUAUUGGACAAUGGGCGCAAGCCUGAUCCAGCCAUGCCGCGUGAGUGAUGAAGGCCUUAGGGUUGUAAAGCUCUUUUGGCGGGGACGAUAAUGACGGUACCCGCAGAAUAAGCUCCGGCUAACUUCGUGCCAGCAGCCGCGGUAAGGCGUAU
rnacentral:rRNA from 1 species